GAUGAACGCUGGCGGCGUGCCUAAUACAUGCAAGUCGAGCGAACGGACGAGAAGCUUGCUUCUCUGAUGUUAGCGGCGGACGGGUGAGUAACACGUGGAUAACCUACCUAUAAGACUGGGAUAACUUCGGGAAACCGGAGCUAAUACCGGAUAAUAUUUUGAACCGCAUGGUUCAAAAGUGAAAGACGGUCUUGCUGUCACUUAUAGAUGGAUCCGCGCUGCAUUAGCUAGUUGGUAAGGUAACGGCUUACCAAGGCAACGAUGCAUAGCCGACCUGAGAGGGUGAUCGGCCACACGGGAACUGAGACACGGUCCAGACUCCUACGGGAGGCAGCAGUAGGGAAUCUUCCGCAAUGGGCGAAAGCCUGACGGAGCAACGCCGCGUGAGUGAUGAAGGUCUUCGGAUCGUAAAACUCUGUUAUUAGGGAAGAACAUAUGUGUAAGUAACUGUGCACAUCUUGACGGUACCUAAUCAGAAAGCAACGGCUAACUACGUG
rnacentral:rRNA from 1 species